rnacentral:rRNA from 1 species
GGGCCCGCACAAGCGGUGGAGCAUGUGGUUUAAUUCGAUGAUACGCGAGGAACCUUACCAGGGCUUAAAUGUAAGUUGCAUAAGCUAGAGAUAGCUUUUUCUUCGGACUACUUACAAGGUGCUGCAUGGUUGUCGUCAGCUCGUGCCGUGAGGUGUCAGGUUAAGUCCUAUAACGAGCGCAACCCCUGUUGUUAGUUGCCAGCGAGUAAAGUCGGGAACUCUAACAAGACUGCCGGUGCAAACCGUGAGGAAGGUGGGGAUGACGUCAAAUCAUCACGGCCCUUACGUCCUGGGCUACACACGUGCUACAAUGGCCGGUACAGAGAGCAGCCACACCGUAAGGUGGAGCGAAUCUACAAAACCGGUCUCAGUUCGGAUCGGGGUCUGCAACUCGACCCCGUGAAGCUGGAAUC